GGACCUGAUCAAGCAUCUGGACUGGCUUAUGGAUAUAGAGAAAAUGUAGGGGAUAGAUGAGCACGGGAAAUGUCUCCGUGGGGCAAAAUUCACGAAAUUCAGAUUGUUGGACACUCUCCAGGACAAAAGGUCUAGAUUCUUCAAAAACAACAACAUCGAAAAAAAAAAACUGCCAGAAAGAAAAAAUACAGAGGGAGAAGGACACAGAACACAUUUAUGAGUCUUUUCACCCUCAUUUCGUUGAAGAUUUUAUUGGCCGAAGAACCCUCAGUAGGCACGAAAUUCAUUCUCACAAGCAGAGAGAUGCAUUAUGCUCCAUUUAUUGCUCAUCCUAAAUUAUAAACAUUUCCAGUGAAUGUAAAGGAAGAUAUGAUUGAAAAGGACUCUGUGAAGACAGGAUGUUUCUGUACAGUCCUUGUAUCUGCUCACCUAUUCCAAACUUUCCAGAGAUUUUACCAGAGGUUUAAGAUAUUCUCCUGAGGGUUUGCUGUAGAGAGAUUUUUCUUAACUAAGGAGUGCAAGUAGCAAGCAAUAGCCCACCCAGUUGGAGACAAAAAAGAAGGGUGUCAGUGUUCCCACUGUUAAAAAACAAAAAAAAAUCACCCUGGACACCUCUGAGAAUUAUACAAGGGGAUGUACACAGCCCUGCUUUAUUUGAGUUCAAAAGGAAGGUGGGUUUUGAAAGAAGAACAAGGAGAGUAGAUCUCUCUGGAUCUUCUGAUGCUCACAGCAAAGAGCUCAAGGUAUCUGAGUCAACUCUUGAGGCUUCUUCGAACAGAGGGAUGAAGAGAGAAUAUGGCAAGCUUGCCAACAGAUCCCAGAAGUUUUAAGAGAAAAGAACAGAUUGCUCUUUGCAAAACAAACCGAGCUGGGUGCAUGGAGCCCCAGUAGACAGAAAGUGAAGAAAACAUCAACGUUCUGAAGUUUUAGAUAGAGGAAGAAACAGGCCCAGAGAAGUUGGGUAACUCAUCAAAGGUCACAGAGCUAAGAGUGGCAGAGUCAGGCCUGGAGCCCAGGAAGUCUGGUUUCGAAUUUCAUGCUUCUAACCUGAGCACUGUACUGCUUGGUGGAGUUCUCUGCUAGUCCUACCUUUCAGGCAGAGGUGAUGCAGCAAGAAAGCUGCCACCAGAUGCAGCCCCUUGAUCUCGGACUGCCCAGCCUCUAGAACUGGGCUUCAGUAGAAGAGGAAGAGGCUUGGGUUUAAUUGAAGGUGGCCUGAGACAUCUGUGAGGAACAGCCCUUUUAGAGACAUAUCCCCUACAAAUAAAGCAUCAGAAUUAUUAUCCUAAUACAUGAACAUCCAUGGUUCCUUCAGCACCAUCGUAAUGCAGAGACCAUGGGGAGAUGCAGGGAGAGGGCUCUGCACAGCAUGGCCAACUUGCCGGGUUGAAAACAGACAACCUCCAUGGAGCAGGGACUUCAAUUAGUUAAUUCCCCAUCCCCACUGUCACUUACUAACAUGGGAUUCUGAUUAAAAAUUAGAUUCUCUGCAA
rnacentral:lncRNA from 1 species